rnacentral:rRNA from 1 species
UACAGGGGGGGCAAGCGUUGUUCGGAAUUACUGGGCGUAAAGGGCUCGUAGGCGGUCGGGUAAGUCUGAUGUGAAAUCUCACAGCUUAACUGUGAAACUGCAUUGGAUACUAUUCGGCUUGAGAGUUGGAGGGGGGACUGGAAUUCUUGGUGUAGCAGUGAAAUGCGUAGAUAUCAAGAGGAACACCAGUGGCGAAGGCGAGUCCCUGGACAACUUCUGACGCUGAGGCACGAAAGCUAGGGGAGCAAACAGG